GGCCUAAUUAUCCUAAAGGCACUUGAAAGCACAUUAAAAUAUCAACUACAUCCCAUUGAAUUUUGGAAGCUAAGCAGGAUCAGUCCUGGUCAGUACUUGGGUGGGAGACAGCCAAUGAAUCCCAGGUGCU
rnacentral:rRNA from 11 species